rnacentral:rRNA from 1 species
UACGUAGGGGGCAAGCGUUGUCCGGAAUCAUUGGGCGUAAGCGCGUGUAGGCGGCUGAGCAAGUCCGCUCUGAAAGCCCGAGGCUCAACCUCGGGAGGCGAUGGAUACUGCUCAGCUCGAGUCCGGAAGAGGAGUGUGGAAUUCCUGGUGUAGCGGUGAAAUGCGCAGAUAAUCAGGAGGAACACCGGUGGCGAAGGCGGAUCUCUGGGCCAUACUGACGUGGAGGAGCGAAAGCGUGGGGAGCGAAACAGGA